ACGUAGGGGACAAGCGUUGUCCGGAAUCACUGGGCGUAAAGGGCGCGUAGGCGGUUUUAUAAGUCAGAUGUGAAAGGUACCGGCUCAACCGGUGACGUGCAUUUGAAACUGUAAGACUUGAGUACUGGAGAGGGGGGUGGAAUUCCUGGUGUAGCGGUGAAGUGCGUAGAGAUUAGGAGGAAGACCGGUGGCGAAGGCGGCUUACUGGACAAAUACUGACGCUGAGGUGCGAAAGCGUGGGGAGCGAACAG
rnacentral:rRNA from 1 species